CAAUUAAUUCUUGAAUAAUUAUUGCUAUAAAUGAGCUCAAUAAAAAUAGCCAGUUUCCAAGUUGUCUGCAUUUCGCCCGGGCUUGUGUUCAUAGAUUUCAGGAGGGUUAAAAGAAAAUGUACUGCUCGUUAAACACUAACUACCAUAGGACAGUGUGACGGUGAGUCUAAGCAUAGAUCGACUGCAGACUUGUCAUAAACUUGGCGCACAGCUCGAAACGAGAAGAUCGAAGCAUAAAUCUGCAUCUUGCAAACAGCAACAUCAGUGGCGCAAGGCUGUACCAGUUCGUACGCUGCAGUUAUAUAGUGUAUGCUAGCUGAGCUACGUCGUGCACGUGUUUUAUGGGAAGUGGCUAUAUACCUCAUUUGCAACGAGUAGGCGUAGAAACAAAGGACGUGGGCUACGGGUACGAUGCGAGAGUGGUAACAAGUCGUCUGCUGGUGUCUUCAUUCUGCAGGGGUAAGCGGCCGGAUGUAUUUUGCAAGCGGAGACAAGUUCUAAGCAUGUAGCUGAGAAUGUUCGAAUGGACCCACCAGUUGCACCUCACUCAUACCCGUACCAAGUGGAAAAGAAGAUGCAUGAAAUGCUAAGAAGGCGGAUGCCAGACGACAGCGCCCAGUAACGUAGCAGUGAUGGCUGCUAGCCUGGACAGCAGCGAUCGACUCGGCAUAAAGAUGGCGCUGGAUACAGUGACGCCACCUACUGGCCGUUCGCCACAGCCAGUGAACAAUACGGGUGGUCACGAGCCCUUUAACAACAACACGUGUAUGGGGAAGCAGGUGGGGAUGAAACCUGUGUUAUCGGACGACCGGGGCGACAACAACGCACAGGCUUCCACCCCUCCCGCGACCUCCUCCUCACCGAACGAACCUCAGAAGGAAACCUCAGGCAAAUCACCUUCAGCGGGCGGCGUCCGCGCGGACCCCGCCUG